rnacentral:snRNA from 1 species
ACUCUUGUUUGUCAUCAGAUCGUAUAAAUAUUUAGCCUUUUACUAAAGAUUUCUGUGCAGAGGAACAACAAGUUAUUCUAAUUUUUUGAGGCCCUUCUGAGGGGCA